CCUACGGGAGGCAGCAGUGGGGAAUUUUGGACAAUGGGCGCAAGCCUGAUCCAGCCAUGCCGCGUGUCUGAAGAAGGCCUUCGGGUUGUAAAGGACUUUUGUUAGGGAGCAAGUCCUGCAGGUUAAGAGCUAGUAGGGAUGAGAGUACCUAAAGAAUAAGCACCGGCUAACUACGUGCCAGCAGCCGCGGUAAUACGUAGGGUGCAAGCGUUAAUCGGAAUUACUGGGCGUAAAGGGUGCGCAGGCGGUAUUGUAAGCCAGAUGUGAAAUCCCCGGGCUCAACCUGGGAACUGCGUUUGGAACUGCAAUGCUAGAGUGUGUCAGAGGGGGGUGGAAUUCCACGUGUAGCAGUGAAAUGCGUAGAGAUGUGGAGGAACACCGAUGGCGAAGGCAGCCCCCUGGGAUAACACUGACGCUCAGGCACGAAAGCGUGGGGAGCAAACAGGAUUAGAUACCCUGGUAGUCCACGCCCUAAACGAUGACAACUAGCCGUUGGGAACUUCGGUUCUUGGUGGCGUAGCUAACGCGAGAAGUUGUCCGCCUGGGGAGUACGGUCGCAAGAUUAAAACUCAAAUGAAUUGACGG
rnacentral:rRNA from 1 species